rnacentral:rRNA from 1 species
AGCGACAGAAGAAGCACCGGCUAACUCCGUGCCAGCAGCCGCGGUAAUACGGAGGGUGCGAGCGUUAAUCGGAAUUACUGGGCGUAAAGCGCAUGCAGGUGGUUUGUUAAGUCAGAUGUGAAAGCCCGGGGCGUCAACCUCGGAAUAGCAUUUGAAACUAGGCAGACUAGAGUACUGUAGAGGGGGGUAGGAAUUUCAGGUGUAGCGGUGAAAUAGCGUAGAGAUCUGAAGGAAUACCGGUGGCGAAGGCGGCCCCCUCGGACAGAUACUGACACUCAGAUGCGAAAGCGUGGGGAGCAAACAGGAUUAGAUACCCUGGUAG